UACGUAGGUGGCAAGCGUUGUCCGGAAUUAUUGGGCGUAAAGAGCUUGUAGGCGGUUUGUCGCGUCUGCUGUGAAAAUCCGGGGCUUAACCCCGGACCUGCAGUGGGUACGGGCAGACUAGAGUGUGGUAGGGGAGACUGGAAUUCCUGGUGUAGCGGUGAAAUGCGCAGAUAUCAGGAGGAACACCGAUGGCGAAGGCAGGUCUCUGGGCCACUACUGACGCUGAGAAGCGAAAGCAUGGGGAGCGAACAGG
rnacentral:rRNA from 1 species